GACGAACGCUGGCGGCGUGCUUAACACAUGCAAGUCGAACGGAAAGGCCCUGCUUUUGUGGGGUGCUCGAGUGGCGAACGGGUGAGUAACACGUGAGUAACCUGCCCUUGACUUUGGGAUAACUUCAGGAAACUGGGGCUAAUACCGGAUAGGAGCUCCUGCUGCAUGGUGGGGGUUGGAAAGUUUCGGCGGUUGGGGAUGGACUCGCGGCUUAUCAGCUUGUUGGUGGGGUAGUGGCUUACCAAGGCUGUGACGGGUAGCCGGCCUGGGAGGGUGACCGGCCACAUUGGGACUGAGAUACGGCCCAGACUCCUACGGGAGGCAGCAGUGGGGAAUAUUGCACAAUGGGCGGAAGCCUGAUGCAGCAACGCCGCGUGCGGGAUGACGGCCUUCGGGUUGUAAACCGCUUUCGCCGGUGACGAAGCGUGAGUGACGGUAAUGGGUAAAGAAGCACCGGCUAACUACGUG
rnacentral:rRNA from 1 species